rnacentral:lncRNA from 1 species
GCCCCCCUCCCCUCUCUUUCCCCCCCCCCCCCCCCCCCCCUCCUCCCGCCGGGGCGAGGGUUCCGCCGGCCCCUCGGCGCCCCCCCUCCAGCCUCCCCGGGGCCGGGCAGGCGCUUCUGCGCCACGGCGCUGCCGGCCCGCUUCGCUCCGCUCCCCUCCGGCGGGGGAGGAAGCGCCGACCCCACCAUCCGGCCCGGGGCCCCCGCCCGCCCUCAGCCACCCGCGGAGGAGGCGGGCGGGGGCACAGGUGGGCAGCCCCAGCGCCGCCGUCCUCCGGGGGCGGUGGAGGAGACCCCGCCGCAGCUUCCCCCCCCCCCGCCCCUCGCCCUACCACCACCGCCCGGGUCCGGCCGCGGCCGUUGCGCCAAGGCCGGGCCGCGGCCGGCCGGGCCGGGCCGGGCCGUGUGGUGGGGCCGGGCUCGGCGGGGACCGCGCCGGGCCUGCCCCGCCUCAGAUCUCGGGAAGUAGUUGGGUGCGACCUGAACUUGUCCCUCGUCCUUUGGCCCGCUCCGGCCCGGCGUGCCCUGGCGGGCCCGGCGGCGCCGGGUUGAGGUGCGCGGCCUCGGGGGGCGCCGGGUGGCAGCUGGCCGCCGGCGGGGCGAGGGGCGUCGGGCGUUCGUCGGCCGGUCAGCGGCGCCGGCCUCGCAGCCCUGCUGGUUUUCUUUUUUUUUUUUUUUNNGGGGGGGGGGAGGGCGGCCGCCGGGGGGGGGGGGGGCGUGGGGGGUGGGUCGGCCGGGCGGCGGGGCCGGCCUCGCGGCCCUGCUGGUUUUCUUUUUUUUUUUUUUUUCUUUUUUUUUUUUUUUUUUCUCUCCUGUGCCGUGGUCGUCACCCUCGCUUUGCGCAUCGCGUGCUGCCCCCAAACUUCGGACAGGGCCCGAAACUUUGCCAGCAGGACCGGGCUCUCCCACUCCCAAAAUGGAUGUCGGCGUCUCUUCCACGAAGCGACGGGCAAUGGAGCGGUUUGCCGGCCUUCGCUCGGCCCGAGGGCUGCGGGGCUGCUGUGGAGUGA